AUUUUCAAGGUAGAGACAGGUCAACUUGGUUUCUAGAGAUAUGGUGCUAUUCAGUAUUCCAUCCCCCACUUCAUCCUCCGAUUUCAAGAGGAGAAAGAAACUCCUCAAAUAUUUUUUAUAUUGACUUUUGUUCCUUUUGCUUAUCUGCUGCUUACUUUUAGUUUGAGAAAUAAAUAUAAUAAUAUUGCUUAUAUGGAACUUUUUUCACAUAUUUACAGAAAUGAAAAUUUAAGUUUCCAGUUACUGCUCUCUUGAACGGAGGAACUGCCACCUUUUAUAGCCGUAGAAAACAAGAACCUGUGAGACUAAAUGUUCCUGGAUAAGGAUAUAGGAGGGAAGACUAAGUCAUAAGUAUUCAGCUUUAGACAAGUUUGGCAGAUCCAGAAUCAUGAGGUCCCAGUGUAUUCACUCUCAGCACCCGGAAACAAGAUAUGCAGAACAAUAUCUGUGAAGCAUGACAGUGUUUCACUUAAUAAUGUCACCUGUGAGAUGUGCUUCAGUUUGUAUCCUGGCCUGAUUUCUCUCUGUAUACAUACAGCAUUUAUCUAUAGUUCUUAUGUAAUCUUUUCUACUUCCCACUUUCUGUAUGCUCCCUAGAGUUGAAAUCAUGGAGUAGGAGGUUAUCCAGAUCUAAAUCUGGCUGCACAUCUCAGUUCGUCUCUGAGGUUCUCUCUAAUUUCUGGCUUUUUUCCUUGGUGGAAAUGCCAACUUUCCUUAAAAACUUCUGUCAUUAAACAUGUCUAGCAAUUCCCUGAGCUUAUUGCCAAUUAUUUUAUAAUAAAUGUUCAGUUCUCUUUGUUUGUUAGCA
rnacentral:lncRNA from 1 species